rnacentral:sRNA from 1 species
UGAUUACCCACCCGUCAGGGCGCCGCUGAAGGUCACUGAAUACUUACUGUGCACCCGAAAAAUAAAUCCUGCGAGUUCACGCCCGCGUAGCUCGCCCCCUGAUUUUGAGCGACUCCUUUCGCAUGGGAUCUACAAAACCGAACUGCCUUAAAGACUUCUUUCACACGGACGUGAAGUCACAGAACUGACAAAAUCCCAUCCUGUCAAAGUGCACGGGUCUUUGAAAUCUAACACAAAAAGCCAUAGAAAGAUUCUCUAAACACCCUGUACUAUGAGGAACACGGACAGGGCACUGCGUUCUGAAGUAGAGGCCAGGGCACUGGCCCUUAGACACGUCUCGCUGUCACCGGGCUAACAACAUUGGCAAGGGCGACGGCAGCAGCACUGAUAUUUGCAGCCCCCAAGGGCCCUGGCGAAACCCCCUCUAUUACUCUGUAUCCUGCUUGUUUCCAAGAUGAACCUGUUGCUGGGAAAGAACAGGCUAAAUUAGAAAAGGGAGCAUUUUGUCAAAGUUGAAGAAACCUCUGUAGAGAAGCAGGAUGCAACCGACAGGCUGUGGCCGGACAGCUGCUGCCCAGCACAUGGAGCCGCACGAGCACGAUUUGGCCAAAGAAGCCCCCAUACUCCCGGUGAAAAAGAUUUCCAGAAGCUGUUCUGUCAAUAACAAAGUCUCAAAACCACAAAACCACCAACACUAAGAUCAUUCUUGAGUCCAAUUUGAAAAACUAGGGUCAAGUUCUGCAGAGGCAUUGAAAGGACAAGAUACCACCCUAAUACCCAUCGUGUGAGGGAAAAUGCUCUAUUCACUAUUCCUCAGCUUCUGCUUCUGGUUUCAGAGUUCUCGCUAUAUUGGAGGGUGUUUUAAAGCUAGAGUGGUCUUUAUCCACUUUUAUUAACACAUCUGAAUGUGAAGGUCAAGAGAGGAAAGUGAUAUGUCCUAAGUCAGAGUAGAGUCAACAAGAAAAUAAGACAAACAGCGACUGAGCCCCUGAUGUAUACUGGGCAUUGGCGAGCUACUGGGGAUAUGGAGAUGAAGAAAACGUAAUCCCUUCUUCAAGGAGCCCAACCUACCAAGGUAGACAGACAUAUAGACAAAUAGAUACUUGCAUAGAAAAAAAGAGGAAAAGGGGAUCAGUGUGACCUGUGUAACUAAGUACCUUAUACAACCCUCCUGCAACAGAUCAUAUUGCCCUUUAUAGUAGGGAUGGUAAUCCCAUCUCUGAAUUCCACAUGUGCUUUGCAGUCAUACCACACCCAUGUGUCUGUUGGUCCUGACUGUACCAUUUAUAAACAGCUUCACUUUCAGCAGUUCUCAGCCCUCUUAAGCUAGGGUCAUUGUCAGUAGGGAUACUGCUUCACAAGCGUCAGCAGAACACCAAAGGAGACCGUAUGGGUGAAAGCAACCAACACUGCCCUGGCACUUCAUAGGUU